AUUGAACGCUGGCGGCAUGCCUUACACAUGCAAGUCGAACGGCAGCACGGGUGCUUGCCCCUGGUGGCGAGUGGCGAACGGGUGAGUAAUACAUCGGAACAUGUCCUGUAGUGGGGGAUAGCCCGGCGAAAGCCGGAUUAAUACCGCAUACGAUCUACGGAUGAAAGCGGGGGACCUUCGGGCCUCGCGCUAUAGGGUUGGCCGAUGGCUGAUUAGCUAGUUGGUGGGGUAAAGGCCUACCAAGGCGACGAUCAGUAGCUGGUCUGAGAGGACGACCAGCCACACUGGGACUGAGACACGGCCCAGACUCCUACGGGAGGCAGCAGUGGGGAAUUUUGGACAAUGGGCGAAAGCCUGAUCCAGCAAUGCCGCGUGUGUGAAGAAGGCCUUCGGGUUGUAAAGCACUUUUGUCCGGAAAGAAAUCCUUGGCCCUAAUACGGUCGGGGGAUGACGGUACCGGAAGAAUAAGCACCGACUAACUACGUG
rnacentral:rRNA from 1 species